CCGCCGACUGCGUACCGUGCGAAUUCACGAGACAUCUCGAGUACGUGUGGACUGUGUGAAGACGUGGACGAUAACGAGGAGUGCUGUGCAAAGUAUCGCGAUCGUAGUACGCUGGUAAUUAAUUCGAACGCGAUCGUAUAAUUUAACUGUGUGCUCGCGAGUGAGUAUUUCGUAAGUGAAAAUCUGAAGAGGCACUCGACAAUUAGAGGAUGGGAUUCAAAGGAUUCUGAGAGGAGGAGGAGGCCCGGGAAGGCAUCGGGCAACGGCGGAGCACCUGUGGGAUCAGCGUAGCUACGAUGCAGUUAUAACUCCGCUGUUGCGCAUCGUGCCUG